GAUAGCCCGGCGAAAGCCGGAUUAAUACCGCAUACGAUCUACGGAUGAAAGCGGGGGACCUUCGGGCCUCGCGCUAUAGGGUUGGCCGAUGGCUGAUUAGCUAGUUGGUGGGGUAAAGGCCUACCAAGGCGACGAUCAGUAGCUGGUCUGAGAGGACGACCAGCCACACUGGGACUGAGACACGGCCCACACUCCUACGGGAGGCAGCAGUGGGGAAUUUUGGACAAUGGGCGAAAGCCUGAUCCAGCAAUGCCGCGUGUGUGAAGAAGGCCUUCGGGUUGUAAAGCACUUUUGUCCGGAAAGAAAUCCUUGGCUCUAAUACAGUCGGGGGAUGACGGUACCGGAAGAAUAAACACCGGCUAACUACGUGCCAGCAGCCGCGGUAAUACGUAGGGUGCAAGCGUUAAUCGGAAUUACUGGGCGUAAAGCGUGCGCAGGCGGUUUGCUAAGACCGAUGUGAAAUCCCCGGGCUCAACCUGGGAACUGCAUUGGUGACUGGCAAGCUAGAGU
rnacentral:rRNA from 1 species